rnacentral:rRNA from 1 species
UUCCGGUUGAUCCUGCCGGAGGUUACUGCUAUCGAGGUUCGACUAAGCCAUGCGAGUCGAAUGUAGCAAUACAUGGCGAACUGCUCAGUAACACGUGGACAACCUGCCCUUAGGACGGGGAUAAACCCGGGAAACCGGGUAUAAUACCCGAUAGGUCUCGAUUGCUGGAAUGCAUCGAGAUUUAAAGCUCAGGCGCCUAAGGAUGGGUCUGCGGCCUAUCAGGUAGUAGUGGGUGUAGCGUACCUACUAGCCUACGACGGGUACGGGUUGUGAGAGCAAGAGCCCGGAGAUGGAUUCUGAGACACGAAUCCAGGCCCUACGGGGUGCAGCAGGCGCGAAAACUUUACAAUGCUGGCAACAGCGAUAAGGGAACCUCGAGUGCCAGGUUACAAAUCUGGCUGUCGAGAUGCCUAAAAAGCAUUUCAUAGCAAGGGCCGGGCAAGACCGGUGCCAGCCGCCGCGGUAACACCGGCGGCUCGAGUGGUAACCGUUAUUAUUGGGUCUAAAGGGUCUGUAGCCGGCCGGAUAAGUCUCUUGAGAAAUCUGGCAGCUUAACUGUCAGGCUUUCAGGAGAUACUGUCUGGCUCGAGGCCGGGAGAGGUGAGAGGUACUUCAGGGGUAGGGGUGAAAUCUUGUAAUCCUUGAAGGACCACCAGUGGCGAAGGCGUCUCACCAGAACGGACCUGACGGCAAGGGACGAAAGCUAGGGGCACGAACCGGAUUAGAUACCCGGGUAGUCCUAGCCGUAAACGAUACUCGCUAGGUGUCGGCCACGGUGCGACCGUUGUCGGUGCCGUAGGGAAGCCGUGAAGCGAGCCACCUGGGAAGUACGGCCGCAAGGCUGAAACUUAAAGGAAUUGGCGGGGGAGCACCACAACGGGUGGAGCUUGCGGUUUAAUUGGAGUCAACGCCGGGA